AUUUUGAUAGAUUAAAAAAAUCAUACCUUUGAAGCAGGUAAAAUUGGGAAACCAUCAAAAUA
rnacentral:tRNA from 1 species